ensembl:snoRNA
AGGGAUGCAAGGUUGAUUUGAUAUUCAAAAAACAAUCCAUCAGUUUAUAACAUACCCAGUAGGAAUCUAGGGUCACUGUGAUGAGGAGCACAGAACUGUGGCCUCCCUAUAAACAAAUACCCUACAUGU